UGCCUUUGUAGAGCAGGUAUAGGAUUCAGUUUUUUUUAUGAACCAAAUGAACCUAGUAUACUGAUUGUUUUGUGCAUGUCUCUUUCAGUUGUGGCCAUGCUGUUAUGUAUCGUAUUGUCAUCAGAAGAAUCUGAUGUGCUGCAAUGCACAGGGGAGAAACUGAGUGAUGGACAGUUCUACUUUAAUAUGCCGUAUGAAGUUAAGGAGGACAUCUAUGACUGCGAGACCCAAUGGCUUGUUGAUGAGAAAGUGGCAGGGAUUUCUGAUACUGAAGGGAAAAUUACGUUCAUAUUCCCAAUUGAAAAUUUGACAGUGAAUGCAGCCAUCUUACAGACGUGCCCUGAAAGACUUGAAUGCCUGCUCAUCUGCCCCAGCGCCAAUAUCAAUGAAAAGCAGCAGUGCUCUUGUAAGUAA
rnacentral:lncRNA from 1 species